rnacentral:tRNA from 2 species
CAGUAGCUCAGUUGGAUAGAGCAACGGCCUUCUAAGCCGUGGGUCGGGAGUUCGAAUCUCUCCUG